AUUGAACGCUGGCGGCAUGCUUUACACAUGCAAGUCGAACGGUAACAGGGAGCUUGCUCCGCUGACGAGUGGCGAACGGGUGAGUAAUGCGUCGGAACGUGCCGAGUAGUGGGGGAUAACGCAUCGAAAGGUGUGCUAAUACCGCAUACGUACUGAGGUAGAAAGUGGGGGACCUUCGGGCCUCACGCUAUUCGAGCGGCCGACGUCUGAUUAGCUAGUUGGGGAGGUAAAGGCUCACCAAGGCGACGAUCAGGAGCGGGUCUGAGAGGAUGAGCCGCCAAACUGGGACUGAGACACGGCCCAGACUCCCACGGGAGGCAGCAGUGGGGAAUUUUGGACAAUGGGCGCAAGCCUGAUCCAGCCAUGCCGCGUGUCUGAAGAAGGCCUUCGGGUUGUAAAGGACUUUUGUCCGGGAGCAAAUGCUGGUGGCUAACAUCCACCGGAGCUGAGAGUACCGGAAGAAUAAGCACCGGCUAACUACGUGCCAGCAGCCGCGGUAAUAC
rnacentral:rRNA from 1 species